GACGAACGCUGGCGGCGUGCUUAACACAUGCAAGUCGAACGGUGAACGAGGGAGCUUGCUCCCUCCGGAUCAGUGGCGAACGGGUGAGUAACACGUGAGCAAUCUGCCCCGAACUCUGGGAUAAGCGCUGGAAACGGCGUCUAAUACCGGAUACGACGCGGGAGGGCAUCCUCUCCGCGUGGAAAGAACUUCGGUUCGGGAUGAGCUCGCGGCCUAUCAGCUUGUUGGUGAGGUAACGGCUCACCAAGGCGACGACGGGUAGCCGGCCUGAGAGGGUGACCGGCCACACUGGGACUGAGACACGGCCCAGACUCCUACGGGAGGCAGCAGUGGGGAAUAUUGCACAAUGGGCGCAAGCCUGAUGCAGCAACGCCGCGUGAGGGACGACGGCCUUCGGGUUGUAAACCUCUUUUAGUAGGGAAGAAGCGAAAGUGACGGUACCUGCAGAAAAAGCACCGGCUAACUACGUGCCAGCCGCCGCCGUAAAAC
rnacentral:rRNA from 1 species